rnacentral:lncRNA from 1 species
UCCUGUAGACUUUACAACAUUAUGCCAAAUACCAACAAUUUAUCACCAUUACUGAAUCUGCAAUGGACCAGAAUAGAAAGGUAAGCAUUAGUUGAUUAUUUGUGGAUGAUGCCAUCAAGGUGUUCUGGCUAGCAUUAAAGUCAUACCUUUGAAUAACUUCUCAAAUUUGUCAAAAAAGCCAGUCUUUAUGAACAAUUUUACGAUUUAUCAAGAUUUGUAUUCCAGAUAAUUUUAAUAUGUAACAAUGACCAUUAACAUUUUAUAAUCAAAC